rnacentral:rRNA from 1 species
UGUAUUUAUUAGAUUAAAAGCCAACGCCCUUCGGGGCUCCCUGGUGAUUCAUAAUAACUUUUCGAAUCGCAUGGCCUUGCGCCGGCGAUGGUUCAUUCAAAUUUCUUCCCUAUCAACUUUCGAUGCGAGGGUCUUGUCCUCGCAUGGUUGCAACGGGUAACGGAGGGUUAGGGCUCGACCCCGGAGAAGGAGCCUGAGAAACGGCUACUACAUCCAAGGAAGGCAGCAGGCGCGCAAAUUACCCAAUCCCGACACGGGGAGGUAGUGACAAUAAAUACUGAUACAGGGCUCUUUAGGGUCUUGUAAUCGGAAUGAGUACAAUUUAAAUCCCUUAACGAUGAACAAUUGGAGGGCAAGUCUGGUGCCAGCAGCCGCGGUAAUUCCAGCUCCAAUAGCGUAUAUUAAAGUUGUUGUGGUUAAAAAGCUCGUAGUCGAACCUUGGGCCUGGCCGGCCGGUCCCCCUCACCGGGUGCACUGAUCCGGCCGGGCCUUUCCCUCUGUGGAACCCCAUGGCCUUCACUGGCUGUGCGGGGGAACCAGG